rnacentral:rRNA from 1 species
GACGUAGGGGGCGAGCGUUGUCCGGAAUUACUGGGCGUAAAGAGCACGUAGGCGGGAACUUAAGUCAGGUGUGAAAGACCGUGGCUCAACCACGGGGUGGCAUUUGAAACUGGGUUUCUUGAGGGCAGGAGAGGAAAGCAGAAUUCCUGGUGUAGCGGUGAAAUGCGUAGAAAUCAGGAGGAAUACCAGUGGCGAAGGCGGCUUUCUGGACUGACCCUGACGCUGAGGUGCGAAAGCGUGGGUAGCAAACAGGAUUAGAUACCCCGGUAGUCCCUGAGCGGGCU